rnacentral:lncRNA from 1 species
UUUCCCCAGAAUUCUGGUGGUCCCAACUCUUUGAAUUGCUUGGCCGUGACAAAUCGUGCGUUGUUAUCAUUUCCACCUGUAUUUUGUGCACGAGUCUCCCUCGUCUGAUUUUGUACGAACUGCAAAAAACUUCUAAACAUCCCGUCGUUCAUCAUCUGCUCAGUGGCGUUGUUCACAGGAGGAACAUUGCCAGCCUGCUGCACGUUCUCCUCAUUGGUGAGUAUAGGCGUCUCCAUGGUCUCAACUCCACUGUUAACAUUCUCAGUCGACAUUCUCAAAUACUGCCAUAAAACAAGGGUUAAUUAAAGAAAUCAACAUAUCACAUAAUAUCCCUAUAUACUGACCAACUAACAAAUAAGCUUAGGUAGGAC